rnacentral:rRNA from 1 species
UGGGGAAUAUUGCGCAAUGGGCGGAAGCCUGACGCAGCGACGCCGCGUGGGGGAUGACGGCCUUCGGGUUGUAAACCUCUUUCAGUAGGGACGAAGCGGAAGUGACGGUACCUACAGAAGAAGCACCGGCCAACUACGUGCCAGCAGCCGCGGUAAUACGUAGGGUGCAAGCGUUGUCCGGAAUUAUUGGGCGUAAAGAGCUCGUAGGCGGUCUGUCACGUCGGCUGUGAAAUCCCGAGGCUCAACCUCGGGGUCUGCAGUCGAUACGGGCAAACUAGAGUAUUGCAGGGAGACUGGAAUUCCUGGUGUAGCGGUGAAAUGCGCAGAUAUCAGGAGGAACACCGGUGGCGAAGGCGGGUCUCUGGGCAAUAACUGACGCUGAGGAGCGAAAGCGUGGGGAGCGAACA